rnacentral:SRP_RNA from 1 species
UGGAGAGUAAUUUCCGAUAAAAAUUUACGAAUCUCGUCAGGUCCGGAAGGAAGCAGCGAUAAGUAGAACCUUUUAUGUGGAAGUUACUUUCCACGG